GACGAACGCUGGCGGCGUGCUUAACACAUGCAAGUCGAACGGAUAGGCCCUGCUUUUGUGGGGUGCUCGAGUGGCGAACGGGUGAGUAACACGUGAGUAACCUGCCCUUGACUUUGGGAUAACUUCAGGAAACUGGGGCUAAUACCGGAUAGGAGCUCCUGCUGCAUGGUGGGGGUUGGAAAGUUUCGGCGGUUGGGGAUGGACUCGCGGCUUAUCAGCUUGUUGGAGGGGUAGUGGCUUACCAAGGCUUUGACGGGUAGCCGGCCUGAGAGGGUGACCGGCCACAUUGGGACUGAGAUACGGCCCAGACUCCUACGGGAGGCAGCAGUGGGGAAUAUUGCACAAUGGGCGGAAGCCUGAUGCAGCAACGCCGCGUGCGGGAUGACGGCCUUCGGGUUGUAAACCGCUUUCGCCUGUGACGAAGCGUGAGUGACGGUAAUGGGUAAAGAAGCACCGGCUAACUACGUG
rnacentral:rRNA from 1 species